rnacentral:lncRNA from 1 species
AUUGACCCAAUCCCAUUAGGUCAAAGGCAACUGGUCUAGGUUAUCUCAAACACUUUGAACCAAACUAAUUUAGGAACUUGAGUUAAUACAAUAUGCUAGAAUAUCAAAUUAACCCAUAGAAUUUAUAUUAAACUCUAAUAAAAUUAGACCAAGGCCAAAUCCCAAAGUGUAUGAUCCAUUAGGUUUCAAAUCUAGCCAGC